GGGCCCUUCAUCUACAGUGGAGGAUAGUCCCACGACAAUCAUAGAGGAUAUUGUUCCAACAGUUAACGAGGGUCCCGAUGUUACACUGAUUCAUACUACGGGACCUUCAUCUACAGUGGAGGAGAGUCCCACGACGAUCAUAGAGGAUGUUGUUCCGACAGUUAAUGAGGAUCCUGAUGUUACACAGAUUCAUACUACAGGACCUUCAUCUACAGUGGAGGAGAGUCCCACGACGAUCAUAGAGGAUGUUGUUCCAACAAUUAAUGAGGAUCCCGAUGUUACACAGAUUUAUGUUAUUUAUUUAUUUUUGACAUAUUUAUAUUAAUUAUUAAAACUUUGAUUUUAUAUUAAAUUAAGUUUUAAUAAUUUUAGAUUCAUACUACGGGACCUUCAUCUACAGUGAAGGAGAGUCCCACGACGGUCAUAGAGGAUGUUGUUCCGAUAGUUAAUGAGGAUCCCGAUGUUACACAAGUUUAUUU